GAUGAACGCUGGCUACAGGCUUAACACAUGCAAGUCGAGGGGAAACGACGGGGAAGCUUGCUUCCCCGGGCGUCGACCGGCGCACGGGUGAGUAACGCGUAUCCAACCUGCCUCUGACUGAGGGAUAACCCGUCGAAAGUCGGCCUAAUACCUCAUGGCAUCGUCUGCGGGCAUCCAACGACGAUUAAAGAUUUCAUCGGUCAGUGAUGGGGAUGCGUCUGAUUAGCUUGUUGGCGGGGUACCGGCCCACCAAGGCUACGAUCAGUAGGGGUUCUGAGAGGAAGGUCCCCCACAUUGGAACUGAGACACGGUCCAAACUCCUACGGGAGGCAGCAGUGAGGAAUAUUGGUCAAUGGGCGGGAGCCUGAACCAGCCAAGUAGCGUGCAGGAUGACGGCCCUAGGGGUUGUAAACUGCUUUUAGGCGGGGAUAAAGUGAGGGACGUGUCCUUCAUUGCAGGUACCGCAUGAAUAAGGACCGGCUAAUUCCGUG
rnacentral:rRNA from 1 species